AUUGAACGCUGGCGGCAGGCCUAACACAUGCGAGUCGAGCGGAUGAAGGGAGCUUGCUCCUGGAUUCAGCGGCGGACGGGUGAGUAAUGCCUAGGAAUCUGCCUGGUAGUGGGGGAUAACGUCCGGAAACGGGCGCUAAUACCGCAUACGUCCUGCGGGAGAACGCGGGGGAUCUUCGGACCUCACGCUAUCAGAUGAGCCUAGGUCGGAUUAGCUAGUUGGUGGGGUAAAGGCCUACCAAGGCGACGAUCCGUAACUGGUCUGAGAGGAUGAUCAGUUACACUGGAACUGAGAGACGGUCCAGCCUCCUACGGGAGGCAGCAGGGGGGAAGAGUGGACGAUGGGCGAAAGCCUGAUCCAGCGAUGCCGCGUGUGUGAAGAAGGUCUUCGGAUUUUAAAGCACUUUAAGUUGGGAGGAAGGGCAGUAAGUUAAUACCUUGCUGUUUUGACGUUACCAACAGAAUAAGCACCGGCUAACUUCGUG
rnacentral:rRNA from 1 species